rnacentral:misc_RNA from 1 species
AAAAAAAGUCAGCACGGUUUGUGACUUGUGAAUUGGUUUUCUUUUGGUUGCAAAAUAUUGGAAAAUGGCUGUCACGGAGACUUUUUUCUUAUCGCAUGGAUCGCCGUUGAUGGCAAUAGACGAGAGCAUACCGGCAAGGCAUUUCUUCCAAUCCUGGCGGCACGAUACAUAUAAAGACAGGCCAAAGGCCAUUCUAAUCAUUUCCGGCCACUGGGAUACCCGUGAGCCCGCCGUUAACGUCGUUGACCUCAACGACACCAUCCACGACUUCUAUGGCUUCCCCGACGCCAUGUAUAAGCUCAAGUAUACGCCGCCUGGAGCUCCGGAGUUGGCGAAGAGGGUGAAACAAGUGCUCAUGGCAUCUGGGUUUAAGCGUGUUGAUGAGGAUAAAAAACGGGGGCUUGACCAUGGUGCGUGGGUUCCGCUGAUGUUCAUGUAUCCGGAGGCUGAUAUCCCAGUUUGCCAGCUCUCUAUUCAGUCGGAUAAAGAUGGCACCUACCAUUAUAACAUGGGCAGGGCGUUAGCCCCUCUCAAGGAGGAAGGCAUUCUCAUAAUUGGUUCUGGAUCCACCACUCACAACUUGAGGGCCAUUAAACCCAGUGGCUCUUCCUCUCCUCCUUGGGCAUUAGAGUUUGAUUCCUGGCUUAAAGAUGCUCUUCUUCAAGGAAGAUACAACUAUGUGAAUGACUUUUAUGUGAAGGCACCGCACGCAAAAAUGGCUCAUCCUUGGCCAGACCACUUUUACCCAUUGCAUGUGGCCAUGGGUGCUGCAGGCGAAAAUGCCAAGGCCAAGCUUGUGCACCACAGCUGGAGCAAUGGUACCCUUUCUUAUGCUUCUUACCAGUUUAAUGCAGCCAAAUGAAUCAUUCUACAAUUGUGUUACUGCAUCGAUGUCUGUUUAAUUCUCCAUUCAUGGAUAAAUAAGGUUCAUUCCGCAAACCUUAAGUUGGAAAGUUUGUUAAGUUGUAUAUUGGUAAAUUCGACAUAACAUGUAUGGUGAGACUAGAAUUAAAUAUUUAUAUCUUGAGUUCACGAUAAACCGAGUUUAUCUAAGUUUUUCCUUAUAAAUUUGUGCUUUGUGUAAUGAUGUUUUAUUUAUUGUUUUUAUUAUUUUGUGUUGCCAUUUUUAUGUCAUCAAUGCAUUAGAAAGAGUUGGUGAGUUUGCAGUAAUAUAUAUGCUUAGCGAGGUCAGUUCAAUUGUUCAAAUGCGAUAUCUUGACCAUCUGUUAGAGAUGAAGCAUUGAUUAUGCUCCUCUAAAUUAGAAGGCGUGUGUUGGCAACCAAAGUCAAUCUCUCCUCUCUUUAUGGGAAUACGUGCUGAUCGCUUGGAAAUCUCUUCCAUUUAGUCUUGAUGUUUGGAACAAUUCCUUCACAAAUGGGUAAUCUUCAAUUUUUUCAGAUUUUCCUACUAAAGAUUUGACUGCCAAUCAGUGGGGGUAUUCCCUCUCAUAUUUCUCAACUUUACCUGCGUGAAGAAAAUAUUUUCAGUGGCCAUAUCCCUCAUGUCAUAUGAUCUCACGGGCUGGAUUCCUCCAUCGAUAACUUGGAGAGCCUAUUACAUAUCUGAAGACAAGUUUCCAGGAUCUCUUACCUUAAACAGUUGGAUCGUGGAUCAUUCUAACAGAUAUGGUGUCAUCAAAAUAAUGAUCUCACCAGUAAAAUUCCUAUUUCUGCAGGAAGCUUGACAACCUAUCAAUACUUUGCUUAUGUUGAAAUAAGCUAAAGGGUUUCAUUAGGAGUUGGUUUGGUGAGAAAUCUUACCAGACCAAUACAGGUUGUCACAUAAUCAUGAUGGGUACAAUCCCCAUCUCAAUUCCUUGUGGUCUUUCUAUUCCAAUUUUGUGUCAAGGUCUUCAAUCAAUGCUUCACUUUCAUUUUUCUGAUGCUUCUGGAAACAUGCUUCCUUUAAGAGCUGAAAAUGAUGAGAGAAGUAGAAAGUUUUUGCUAGAUGAAUUAAUGGAGCGAGAUUUGUCUAUAGAAAUGGGUAGAACAACUAUGCAGAAUUACAUGUAUACUACAAUAAGUUUGAAAGCAAAGCCUAAGAAGCAAUUAGGUAUCGUUUAAGGCUAACUAAAGGCUCACUUUUGUUUAUUUCCUGCCUUGCAAGUAACAUAUAUGUACCUUAUCUAUGAAGCCCAUGUAUGUUCCUUUGUGCUAUGCUUGGCUUUGCAUUAUUAUAGUUUCUGAG